rnacentral:rRNA from 1 species
GAUGAACGAGGGAGGGGGGAAGAAAAGAAGCAAGUCGAGCGACCGGACGAGAAGCUUGCUUCUCUGAUGUUAGCGGCGGACGGGUGAGUAACACGUGGAUAACCUACCUAUAAGACUGGGAUAACUUCGGGAAACCGUAGCUAAUACCGGAUAAUAUUUUGAACCGCAUGGUUCAAAAGUGAAAGACGGUCUUGCUGUCACUUAUAGAUGGAUCCGCGCUGCAUUAGCUAGUUGGUAAGGUAACGGCUUACCAAGGCAACGAUGCAUAGCCGACCUGAGAGGGUGCACAGCCACACUGGAACUGAGACACGGUCCAGACUCCUACGGGAGGCAGCAGUAGGGAAUCUUCCGCAAUGGGCGAAAGCCUGACGGAGCAACGCCGCGUGAGUGAUGAAGGUCUUCGGAUCGUAAACCGUUGUUAUUAGGGAAGAACAUAUGUGUAAGUAACUGUGCACAUCUUGACGGUACCUAAUCAGAAAGCCACGGCUACCUACGUC